CACGCGCCGCUUAUUACACACCACGAUGUCAGAAGGAGUCUACAGCGGCGGCGCCGGUGGUGGUGGUGGUGGCGAUGGUGCCGCACCACAGCUAUACUUCUGUUACCAAUGCAACCGUACGGUUUCUAUUAGACCUUCGGCUACCGCUUCCUCCGAACUCGUUUGCCCCAAUUGUAACGACGGGUUCCUCGAGGAAUACGAAAACCCUAACCCUAGCCCGACCCCAAAUCCUUUCCUCGCCUUCGAAGAUGCUUCUCCUUUCGCUUCCUUCUCUUCUGGUUUUCCGUUCGUCUUCUCCACCAACUCUCGCGCCGGCGGUGGUGCGAGUGGCGAGUUCCAGAAUCCUAAUGAUCUCUCGGCUCUUUUCGGUGGUCCGAUGUCGCGACCUGGAGGCGUUCAGAACCCUGGAGAGUUUAAUCCGUUUGCAUUUCUUCAAAAUUAUCUCAAUACCUUACGAGCAGGUGGGGCGAAUAUUCAGUUUGUGAUUGAAAACAACAUGGAUGGAGAUCCUUCGGGGUUUCGUCUUCCGUCAAAUCUCGGCGAUUACUUUAUUGGUCCUGGAUUAGAACAAUUAAUCCAACAACUCGCUGAAAAUGAUCCUAAUCGAUACGGCACACCGCCUGCGUCAAAAUCAGCGGUUCAAAACCUUCCUAAUAUCAAGAUCACAAAUGAGUUGUUGGAAUCAGAUUAUUCCGAUUGUGCAGUUUGUAAAGACAGUUUUGAACUUGAUGAGGAGGCAAAGCAGUUGCCAUGUAAACACAUUUACCAUCAAGAUUGUAUUAUUCCAUGGUUGGAGCUGCAUAACUCCUGUCCCGUUUGUCGGUAUGAGUUACCUACGGAUGAUCCGGAUUAUGAGAAUAGGUCUCGACAAUCUUCUACCGGUGGUAGUGGUUCAGGUGCUGCAGCGUCUGUUGGUGGUUCUCAGGAUAAUCCUCUGACACCAAGGACUGCGGAGAGGAGGUUUAGGAUAAACCUGCCUUGGCCUUUUGCUUACAGUACACCUGCUGAGACGAGCAACAGUGGAGCAGGGAACAACAAUUCAGGAGAUGCCAACCAGGGGAGUGGUGGUCAGGCUAGACAAGAAGAUCUUGACUAAAGACAGGUGUUUAGAUUCUGGUUGGUUUGUUAUUUCCAAAUCAACUUGAAUUUUGUAGAAUGUUCCUUAAACAUUCUCUAGUUAUGUAACGCUUACAAAACUGGAUCGACACAGGGGGAAGAAUCGGAGGUGGUGUACUAUGUUGAACAUACAGUGAAACCCUUCUUAUAUACAUGGAAGAAUUAGAGGAGGAAAUAGAUUGAUGUAUCUUUCUAGCAUUUUAAUAAUGACAUGCAAUUUUAAACUUGUGGUUUUCAGAUUAUCAUCUGCAGCUUUUGGAUAUGGUCAUACAAUUCUUGUGCAUCUUCUUUUGUUUUUUAUUUUGUAUAAAACUCUUGAUCAUAUUUUUGCGGAAAAAACGAGUUUUUGGGGGAUAA